CCCCAUACCGAGCUCUCUGCCUCUCUCUCUGGCGGCGGCGGCGCCCGACUGUUCCUCGUACACGCGCGCCGCAGCACGCCGACGACGAGCGGGGCACUCAGAUUUCCUCCCCCUUUUCCAUUUCUUUUCCAUCCUCUCCCCUUUUCUUUUCCACCACCCGGACCCGACGACCACCUUGGAGAGAAGGUUGCGGCGGAGACGCGCAUCGGCGCCCCUGCUCCUCUUGCUGAUGUGUGCGUCCACCCGAGCUGUGGGCGCACCGCCGUCAAGCGGUGCAGAGGCGGUGCCUUUCUUUACCCGCGGCCGCUCACUUACGGCAGCAGCAGUCGGUGGGGUGUUCUUUGCCCGCGGAGGGGUUCUCUGAAAUGUCUCUUGACGUUCAUCUGAGGUAGGGAGGUUUAUAACUAGGUGAAUACUUCAUGUGAUUCACGCACCCUUCCUCACCGGAGCAUGGAAGUUCUGGAGUUUCAGUGGAGUCCAACUUCAAAAUCAUUGGCUGAAGAGAAGCUUAGUGAUACUCAAAGAAAUGAAUUAUCUCGAAUUGAGUAACUGUGGAUAUGAACAUAAUAGGAUGUUUUAGGAACAAAAUGAUUUAUUUUGAAGAAAAGGUACUAUUUUCACCACUCACCAUAAUUUCGUUUUGAUUGUAAAUUACAAUGUAGGAUACAAACGGUACAAAAUGGGAUGUUGUGUUCUUUCAGCUAAUGCUAACUGUGGCAUCUCCUAUUAACUGUACAGUUCUAUUUUUAA